rnacentral:misc_RNA from 1 species
AACACUGUUAACCUGCGGUACCUGCGGAAGGAUCAUUACAGAGUGUUUAACCCCCUAUAAAAUGGUGGGUCUAACCUCCCGUCCUUUGCUGGGUCCCCCUUCUGGAGGACUUUCAAAACUUUCUGCUUCGGCGGGGUAUACCCGCCGGAACACCCUCAAAAAAUUCUUGAUCAAAAUGGUUCGGUCCGAGAAACUUUUUGUGAAAAUUAGCGAAAAACUUUCAGCAAUGGAUCUCAGAUC